GAUGAAGAACGCAGCGAAAUGCGAUACUUGGUGUGAAUUGCAGAAUCCCGUGAACCAUCGAGUCUUUGAACGCAAGUUGCGCCCGAAGCCACUAGGCCGAGGGCACGCCUGCCUGGGCGUCACACGCCGUUGCCCCCCCAUCUACUCCUUCGGGAUUGCGGGGGGGCGGAUGAUGGCCUCCUGUGCGCCUAGCCGCGCGGUUGGCAUAAAUACCAAGUCCUCGGCGCCGCACGCCACGACAAUCGGUGGUUGCGAAACCUCGGUUGCCCGUCGUGUGCGUUCGUCGCGCAUCGAGGGCUCGAAAAAAUGCUCGGCUCCGGCUGGGCUUUCAACGCGACCCCAGGUCAGGCGGGGUUACCCGCUGAAUUUAAGCAUAUCAAUAAGCGGAGGA
rnacentral:misc_RNA from 1 species